rnacentral:rRNA from 1 species
AUGAACGCUAGCUACAGGCUUAACACAUGCACGUCGAGGGGAAACGACAUCGAAAGCUUGCUUUUGAUGGGCGUCGACCGGCGCACGGGUGAGUAACGCGUAUCCAACCUGCCCAUCACUUGGGAAUAACCUUGCGAAAGUAAGACUAAUACCCAAUGAUAUCCCACGAAGGCAUCGGAAUGGGAUUAAAGAUUUAUCGUUGAUGGAUGGGGAUGCGUCUGAUUAGCUUGUUGGCGGGGUAACGGCCCACCAAGGCAACGAUCAGUAGGGGUUCUGAGAGGAAGGUCCCCCACAUUGGAACUGAGACACGGUCCAAACUCCUACGGGAGGCAGCAGUGAGGAAUAUUGGUCAAUGGGCGAGAGCCUGAACCAGCCAAGUAGCGUGCAGGAAGACGGCCCUAUGGGUUGUAAACUGCUUUUAUAAGGGAAUAAAGUGGGUCACGUGUGACUUUUUGCAUGUACCUUAUGAAUAAGGACCGGCUAAUUCCGUG